AAGAGGGAGGGGUGUCUGUCAGAGUCACGUGAGAGGGGGAAAAAAAGGAAGAGAGUGCACUUGGAAUCCCGAACUCGCUGUGCCCCAGGGCUGGAAACUGCUGGAUCCAGAACCAGAGAAGGAUGCCUCCCUUGGGCCGCACAAAUACCCAGGGACGCUCAGAAACGGUGCGCAUGACGCAGAUGCCAUGACUGCCCCUUGGGCCCUCGGAUCUGAGUGAGUGACAAGUGUUCCAGGCCCGGUGCGGGAGAGUAGUGUGCUGGAGAGUAGGGCAGCCUUGCACAGUUCGGCGGGUUCUAGUCGGAGAGGUAUCUCUCCGGGCUCCGAAGCUGCUGCCCUGCACAGAGACUAAAGAGCGCCUCUGGUCCCUGAAGCUGCCGCGGGGGAAAGAUGAAGAUCUGGAGCUCCGAGCACGUGUUUGGCCAUCCAUGGGACACUGUCAUCAAAGCUGCUAUGAGAAAAUAUCCAAAUCCUAUGAACCCUUGUGUAGUAGGAGUGGAUGUGUUAGACAGGAACCUUGAUAACCAGGGCAGGUUACAUAGCCAUCGUCUUCUCAGCACUGAGUGGGGACUUCCAACUCUUGUGAAAGCGGUCUUGGGAACCAAUAGGACUUUGACAUAUAUUCAGGAGCAUUCUGUUGUAGAUCCAGUGGGGAAAAAAAUGGAGCUGUGUUCUACUAAUAUCACACUCACAAAUUUGGUGUUGGUGAAUGAGAGGUUGGUGUACACACCUCAUCCUGACAAUCCUGAAAUGACGGUGCUGACACAUGAAGCAGUCAUCACUGUGAAGGGAUUUAGCUUAGGCAGCUACUUGGAAAGCUUAAUGGCAAACACCAUAUCAUCCAAUGCACGGAAGGGGUGGGCUGCUAUUGAGUGGAUAAUUCAAAAUUCUGAAAGUGCUGUAAGCUAACUGCAUCCACACCUACCAUUUGGGAUAAAUAGUGGUAACUACAGCAUUAUUGACCCUGGGUCGAGAUGCCUUGGAAUGGGUGAUCAGCAGACUUAAUACAGAAUUUGAGGAACUAGCAGCAGCACCUUGACAAAGCAUGCAACAAAGCAAAAACGGCAACAGCCUCAAGAUGUCAAGACAAUGAAGACGUGCAGAAAUCUACUUAGGCAAGGGUGUAUUUUUCCCUACUUAGUGCCAUCUUGGACUGAUAUGCAAUUUGGGGCUCUGCUUGGUUCAUCAGACCUUCAGUUAUUAAUAGACACCUAGAAAAUAAUUAUGAGUUGAAUUAGGAAAUUAAUCAUAAAGGAAGCUGUGAAUUAACCAUAUGAAUGAAUAUAGUGGAGACUGCAAGGAGGGUCAUUUUAUUUUCUGAGAAAAGGUAACUUUUUUUCACCAAAUGAGUAAAUAUAAAUCUUUAACUUCCUCUCCCCACCUUCACCCCCCGCCCAGGGUAGAAAUAAUAUUAAAUUGGAAUUAAGAUUUCAAAAAUUGUGACCAAAAAAGACAUAUUCUCUGUGAAUCCCCAAAUUAGAAUUUCCUCACAUUGUAAAACAAUACUUCCUUAAAGUCUCUGCUUAAAUCUUUGAAGUUCACUGCAAUAAUAGACUGAAAUAUUUCCUUUGAUCAAAGGAGAAAAAAAUUAUUUUCUUGGAUGAGAACAGGGGUUUUUAACUUUAUUGCUCACAGAUUUUUUUGGCAGUCUGUUGAAGCUUAUAGAGCCCUUCUCAGAAAAAUGUUUUUAAUGCAUCAAAUAAAAUAUUUAAGAUUACAAAGGAAACCAAUUAUUUUGAAAUACAUUUUUAAAAAAACAACUUUUUAAAAAGUUUUCCAAUUAAGAAUACUUGGAGCAUUGACAAAGCACAACUGAAUAUUGCUGCAGAUGGGGUAUAUUAUUGUAAGGUCUUGGCACUCCUCAGAAAGCACAUAUCUACCUGUCAGUAUUUACUGUCCUUCCAUAUCCUGCAUCCAUGUUACACAUACAACAAAUUUAGAGGGAAUUUGAGAAACAGAAUUAUAUAAUUAAUAACUUGAAUAACAAAUCCUUAUUUUAAACUAAUAUUUGGAAAUGGUAAUGGGGAUAUAUCUUCCUAAUCUAUGUUUAUUGUUAACUAAUAAAAUCAACUAAAUUGUUUGAGGUACUUUAAGGAGAAAUAACUAUUUUGCUAGGAUAUUCUUUGCUUUAGGUAUAUGAUGUAUUUUCUCUUUGUCUUCAUCAGUUUUUCUGUCUCUGUUUCUAUUUGCCUCUGCUCGUUUGUCUGUCUUUCUUAAAAAAAAAAAAAAAAAAAGACCAAGUUUCCCCAUCUGUCUCACUGGAAUUUCAGGAGUUCUCAAGGGCCACUGCAGAUUGGCCUGGGAACUUUGAUCUGCUCUUUUUCCAAUCUGGGUCAUGUUGCCUUUCUUUUUGUUGUUGUUUGGUUGUUUCAGCUGUGUCUGAGUCUUUGAAAUCCUAUUUGGAGUUUUCUUGGUAAAAAUACUGGAAUGGUUUUCCAUUUCCUUCUCCAACUCAUUUUACAGAUGAGAAAACCGAGGCAAACUGGGUUAGGUGACGUGUCCAGGGUCACGUUGCUAGGAAAUGUCUGAGGCCAGAUUUGGGCUCACGGUUUUCCUGAUUUCAGAGUUAGUGCUCUAUCUGCUGUGCCGCAUGGCUUCUUUCAAGGCAACCUAAUAACUCCAUGUUUUUGAAGGCUUAUCAUAUCAAUAACAAAUUUAGGGUAGAUACUCAGCAGACAUGGUCUGCUGCCAGCUUCAGCCUUCCUGUUGGCUGGGAUCACAGGCAUGUGUCACCAUGUUUGGUGCCAUGUGUAUUUUUUUCCACAACACAUAUCUGCCUGAGGUGCAUAGGGUUCCCUCUCCCCCAAGUCUCCCCCCUCCCAACAUAGAACACAGAAAUAUGUUUCAAAAACACAGAAGUGGGGCAGCUAGGUGGUGCGGUGGAUAGAGCACCAGCCCUGAAGUCAGGAGGACCUGAGUUCAAAUCUGAUCUCAGACACUUAACACUUCCUGGCUGUCUCACCCUGGGCAAGUCACUUAACCCCAAUUGCCUCAGCAAAAACAAACCAAAACAACAUAGAAGUGAUUUUGCUGGACCUGGUCAGGUGGAUGAAGGGUUUUAAUCCUGUCAUAGAUGAUUAUUACCUCUGAUCCUGCCUUAUUUGUAAGAUGAUAAUAAUGAUAGCAUCUACCUCAUUGCCUGUUGCAAGGAUUACAUGAGAUUUCCCGUGUGUGUGUGUGUGUGUGUGUGUGUGUAUGUAUACAUAUAAUACCUGUGUAUAUGUGUGUGUGUGUUUUGUAAGCCUUAAAGUAUUAUGUAUGUAUACUAAUACUAUAUUGUUAUCAUUAUUCCAUCUAUUACACCUAAUUUUGCUGUCUAGGACCAAACAGAACAAAUCUAAUUCUUUUUCUUCAUGACAGUCCUUGAAACACAUGGAGAAACAGUCAUGGCUUCAUUUAAGUCUUCCUGUCCCUAGGAUAACAAUCCCAGAUCUAUCAAGCAAACCCUCUCAUGGCAUGUGUGAAUGAGUAUGUGUACAUACACACAUAUUUGUGCUCUUCCAUAUGAUCAAAGUUUAUCAAAGUCAUUUUGAAAAUGUACAGUCUCAAAUGUAACAGUAUUCCAGAUGUGUUUGGGCCAGAGCCAUUAUAUUCCUAGUCCUGGUACCUGUGUCUUUUUUCUUUAUUUUUUUGGCAUGAAUGGAAGAAGACUUUAUCACAUUUCUUGGAAGAAGCGGACUCUUUACUCAGGGGGCACAAAUGCAAUUUACAGAAUCCAGAACCAGCAGUUAUAUUCCAUAAUCACAUCCUGCCUCCUCAUCUCCUCAGAAUUUCAAUUUAAGGGAAUCUUUCCAAAAUCUAAUAUUGCAUGACACUUCUCUUACAUAUCAAGAAGAAAAUGUUUCCAUGUUCCCCCUCUCCUUGACAUAUUAUCAUAUAUUCAAAAAUGCUGGGUGUCUCCUUCUUAAAGGAGAAGAAGCUAAUAUGCAUGAGGCUUAUUUAUUUAGCAUGCUCAGUUGAAAAUUUUGCUUGCCCAGGUUAUAAAUCCAGAUCAUUUGACUUGUGCCUUUUUUAAUGUGACAUAUGAUUACAUUAACUUUCUUGGCUACCACAUCACACUGUUGAUACAUUUUGACUUUGUAGUCUGCUAAAAACUCUAGAUCUUUUUCUGAUAAAUUUUUAUCUUACUCAUAAUUCCCCUUUCUUAUACUUGUGAAUUUAGCUUUCUUUCUCUUUCUUUCUUCCUUCCUUCUUUCCAUUCCCUUCUUCCUUCUUUCCUUUCUCCUUCCUCCCUCCUUUCUUCUUUUCUCUCUCUCUCCCCUUCCUUUCUCCCUCCCUCCUUCCUUUUUUUUCCUUUCUUUCCCUAUGUACAAGUCUAUACCUUUGUCUUUAUUGAUUUUAUCUUUUUAGAUUAAGAGAUUCAGCCCAAAGUUUCAAACUGCCAAGAUUUUGGGGGAUCCUAAAUCUCUAAUUCAAUGUGUUAUCCUUCUCGGGUUUUUGUUACCUUAAAAUUUCAUAAGGUUUCCAUUUAUGCCUGUAUGUCAAUCAGUGAUAAAAAUGCAAAUCCAUAAUAAAAAAAAAAUCCACUCACA